CCCGUAAUGUCAUUCGCAUGUCCUUGUUUAUCGAUAGAUGCGCCUUCCACCAUUAAGAAAAAGCCUUUUUUGUUUUUUGAAAGUUUAUCCAAUGCUGCCCCUUG
rnacentral:sRNA from 1 species